rnacentral:lncRNA from 1 species
AUACAAUGCCUGUAGCGUACGUACAUGAUUAUUCAUCACGUAUAAAAAUUGCGAAGUAGUGCAAUUAUGAAUACAGUAUCAAUUGCGUCUAACAAGGGGAAAGCAAGUUGGUGCCUGUGGUGUACCAUAUUUCCACAUUUUUCCACGCGCCGUCUCAACGUGCAGCGAGAUCGCUUAUCGGCUAAUUUUCCGACAAGGAUAGAUUAUAAGGACUCCCGUGUAAGCGUCGACUAGCUGACCGUUCGACCACGAAGAAUUUCGCAACACUUUACCACCGCCGCAUAAUCGUGAUUUGCUGCUGUUGGUGCUCUGCUACACCUGGACUGAAGAAAACGCGGCUGUGAGCCAGCCGCAAAUCCGCGCUUGACUUCUCAUCGGGACUUUUGCCACUCGUGCAGUUAGCGGUGACGAAAAUAUACCCGUUUUACCGGACAUCUGGGCGGGCACCCUACCCGCUGGUCAAACCGCACCGUGCAAAAGACUCGCAUACAGUCUGGUUAUUUACUUCGCAAUAUACAGCGUCGUGGGGAUUUACCAGCUUUCAGAAAGGGAUUGCUAAGGAAAAAUUCGAAGAAGAAGAAGCGGAAAUGUCGGUAUCUAAGAAUAACAAGGAAUCAUGACGAAGAAGCCGUUGAGAAAAGAGGUCAGGAAUUUCCUCGGGUAACGAGGCUGAUGCUGGUGUAGGUAUACGCACUAAACGACGUCCUACGCUGCUGAUCUUCCUUUAUACGCACACAUAUGCCGGGGAAAGUGGGCUUUUAGAUGCUACGGAGCGCAGCAUUAGCGAUUCUUGAUGUGGGCGAGGUUGGGGCAAUAUGGCGUCGCAUCAGCUAAUCAGCUGAUCGCUUAAGGUCGUCAAUUUUCUCAUUAUCAUAGCACGGAGGACAUUGUACGAGCUGUUGCACUUUCGUUUUAUGACAUUGCGUCAAUAAACAGUGAAAUCUAUUAUGAAAAACCAUAUUGAUAAUUAAAUGCGAUACCCAGUUAGACGAAAAGUUUCUGGACAAAAAAAUUCUAGGCAUCGGAUUCGUCAGAGUUUCAACGGCGGGUAUUUCAAGAAUGAAAUUUUGACUAGCGCGAAUCUAUGUAUAAGUCGUUUUUACGAUUUCGACUGAGAAUAUUCACCGGGUAAAAAAGAUCUCUUUUUACGACGAUGACGGACAAGUUUAUCAUCACCGGUUGUUUUGCGAACGCGGGAGAAUCGAUCAAGGUCAUUACAAGUUGAUACAGGUUUUACCGCUAUUGCGAAUAUGAUAUUAUAAUACACGGUGUUUUGCGCCAGGUGAUCGCGAGUGAAAGGCAGCACUCACCGUACGUCGGUGUUCGUGUAAUGCUCAGGCCUGUAACCAUAAUACAACGAUCAACUUGCAUUACAGAUACUGUUUCGCAACGACUCACUAUCGGAUCUGGUUCACGCUAGAAUCUCGACAAUUAGUCGAUGUCUACCUACGAAGAUUCCUUGUGAGGGUGAAUUGGUACAAUAUCUGUAUUAAUAUCCUGCACCUGUUCAACUGAUCUUAUCACGCAGAAUGCUAAAGUUUUGUACCUGCGAUCCUGCAAUAACUACUAUGGUAUGGGUAUACAGAGAUAAAUAAAAUCCAGUGCCAAGUGAAAGUUGUGGCUGAUUAACGAAACGCAAGCAAUAAGAAUCACGUAGCUGCAGUAAACUAGCUGUUCAAUGAAUAAAAAUAAGUAACAAUAA